AGCUUCAAACGUGAGAACACAUUCCAGUUGCAGGAUCAGAGGACUUUUCCUACAGCACAGCGCUGGAAUCACCCAUGAGUCCAAGAUGGAAGGCUGAUGAAGAGAAGGAACAGGGAGAGGGAAUUAACUUUCCUGAGCUCAGUGCUUGAGUGAGAGUCAGAUCUCCAUAUACCAAUCAUGGAGCAGAGGUGCUAUGAGAGAUUCCUAACUCCUGAACAACUGUGACAAAGAUAGGUGUCUGACCACCAAAUGUUCCUGUUUUCCCCACAAGUGGCAGCUCUGCCAGGGAAUGCAUAUUUCAUCUAGCCACCCCGGAUGUGGAUGUGUGAGAAGCCAGCCCACUUCGUGGAUGAGCGUAGGUAUCUGCCUUCCAGAGACCGGGGCUGCAGGCCGAAACGCCCGAACUACUACCAGAAGACACACACCUGUUUGUGAAUGGCGGCUUCUGCAUCACUUAGCUUUGUUGGGGGUGAAGGGAGAUCCUAGUAUAAGAUUUGUUGAUUUUCUCAGAGUAUAG
rnacentral:lncRNA from 1 species